rnacentral:misc_RNA from 1 species
GAUGAAGAACGCAGCGAAAUGCGAUAAGUAAUGUGAAUUGCAGAAUUCAGUGAAUCAUCGAAUCUUUGAACGCACAUUGCGCCUCCCAGUAGUCUGGCGGGCAUGCCUGUUCGAGCGUCAUUUCAACCAUCAAGCCCUGCUUGUGUUGGGGUCCUGCGGCUGCCCGCAGGCCCUGAAAACCAGUGGCGGGCUCGCUAGUCACACCGAGCGCAGUAGCACAUCUCGCUCAGGGCGUGCGGCGGGCUCCAGCCGUUAAAGCACCCACCUUUCGCAAGGUUGACCUCGGAUCAGGUAGGAAUACCCGCUGAACUUAAGCAUAUCAAUAAGCGGAGGA